rnacentral:rRNA from 1 species
GAUGAACGCUGGCGGCGUGCCUAAUACAUGCAAGUCGAGCGAACAGACGAGGAGCUUGCUCCUCUGACGUUAGCGGCGGACGGGUGAGUAACACGUGGAUAACCUACCUAUAAGACUGGGAUAACUUCGGGAAACCGGAGCUAAUACCGGAUAAUAUAUUGAACCGCAUGGUUCAAUAGUGAAAGACGGUUUUGCUGUCACUUAUAGAUGGAUCCGCGCCGCAUUAGCUAGUUGGUAAGGUAACGGCUUACCAAGGCAACGAUGCGUAGCCGACCUGAGAGGGGGAUCGGCCAAAAUGGAACUGAGACACGGCCCAGACCCCUACGGGAGGCAGCAGUGGGGAAUCUUCCGAAAUGGGCGAAAGCCUGACGGGGCAACGCCGGGUGAGGGAAGAAGGUUUUCGGAUGGAAAAACCUUGUUAUUAGGGAAGAAAAAAUGUGUAAGUAACUAUGCCCGUCUUGACGGUACUUAACCAGAAAGCCCCGGCUAACUACGG